CUUGAGUUUGUCACGCUUAUUUGCCGUUUUGUUGUGUUUGAGACUGUGCUUGUCUGUCUUUUUCACCAUGGAUAGUUCCACUUCAUCCUCGUGCCCACGGGGAGGUACUGAGCUUUGGAAGAGCACAAGCGUCUGUCAUCUUGGGGAUCUGUUCCUUGGACGUCCUCGAACGGUUCUUGCAGCUGCGUGGGAGUGUACGGUCUGCAGCUUCUGAGAGGAGGAGGAGUUUCCCUAAAUUUGAAAGGGAUGUGCAGCAUGUUAUGCCGCAGAUGCCCAUGUCCACCAGGAGUAUUUUAAUUUUUGCAAAGUCCACGAAGACGCCGGCCAUGAUCAAGGCAACCCAAGGGAGGAGGGGAAACAUGAACAGGAGGACACAAGGAACAAAAUGAGCACACGAGACAUGGAACACAGGAAACAAACAAAACCAACCCAACUAAAACUGAGAACAUGACAUUAAACCCAUUAUUACAGAGGGUCAAUCAUGCCAAAUUUAAAUAAUUAUCAUGAAGUAUUUAAUUUUGAAAUUAUGAAUAUUAUGAGUAGAGUAUUAGGGAGCACUGAGGGGGGGGGGUUUGCUGUGAGAACUUUCAUCAUCCACCUCCUACUACCUUGGGUUAAAAACAAAAUAAAUAACAGCAUAACCUAAUUUGGGUCGCGGGAGUGCUGGUGCUUAUCCCAGCUGUCUUUGGGCAAGAAGUGGGGUACACCUUGAACUGAUUGCAAGGCAAUUGCGGGGCACGUAGAAACAACAAUUCACACUCACAAUCACACCUGAGGAAAAUUUUGAGUCUCCAAUUAUUGUGUGUUUAUGGGAUGUGGGAGGAAACCGUAGUGCCUGAAGAAAACCCACACAGGUGGGUCCAGGAUUUGAACUUCGGUCCUCAGAACAACCAACCAAUCUAACCAAUUGUGUCACUGUGCCGCCACACACACGUCAAUUACAUAUGAAAUACAUGGUGGACAGAAAAUUCACUUUAGAUGGUGGUGGCUCAUACCUUACUUCAAACAUUGA